rnacentral:rRNA from 1 species
GAUGAACGCUGGCGGCGUGCCUAAUACAUGCAAGUCGAGCGAACAGAUGAGGAGCUUGCUCCUCUGACGUUAGCGGCGGACGGGUGAGUAACACGUGGAUAACCUACCUAUAAGACUGGGAUAACUUCGGGAAACCGGAGCUAAUACCGGAUAAUAUAUUGAACCGCAUGGUUCAAUAGUGAAAGACGGUUUUGCUGUCACUUAUAGAUGGAUCCGCGCCGCAUUAGCUAGUUGGUAAGGUAACGGCUUACCAAGGCAACGAUGCGUAGCCGACCUGAGAGGGUGAUCGGCCACACUGGAACUGAGACACGGUCCAGACUCCUACGGGAGGCAGCAGUAGGGAAUCUUCCGCAAUGGGCGAAAGCCUGACGGAGCAACGCCGCGCGAGUGAUGAAGGUCUUCGGACCGUAAAACUCUGUUAUUAGGGAAGAACAAAUGUGUAAGUAACUAUGCACGUCUUGACGGUACCUAAUCAGAAAGCCACGGCUAACUACGUG